rnacentral:rRNA from 1 species
AUUGAACGCUGGCGGCAUGCCUUACACAUGCAAGUCGAACGGCAGCGCGGGAGCAAUCCUGGCGGCGAGUGGCGAACGGGUGAGUAAUAUAUCGGAACGUGCCCAGUAGUGGGGGAUAGCCCGGCGAAAGCCGGAUUAAUACCGCAUGAGACCUGAGGGUGAAAGCGGGGGAGUCGCAAGACCUCGCGCUAUUGGAGCGGCCGAUAUCAGAUUAGCUAGUUGGUGGGGUAAAGGCCUACCAAGGCAACGAUCUGUAGUUGGUCUGAGAGGAUGAUCAGCCACACUGGAACUGAGACACGGUCCAGACUCCUACGGGAGGCAGCAGUAGGGAAUAUUGGACAAUGGGGGCAACCCUGAUCCAGCCAUGCCGCGUGAGUGAAGAAGGCCCUCGGGUUGUAAAGCUCUUUUGUCCGGAAAGAAAAGCAUCUGGUUAAUACCCGGGUGUUCUGACGGUACCGGAAGAAUAAGCACCGGCUAACUUCGUGCCAGCAGCCG